UACGGGGGGGGCAAGCGUUGUCCGGAAUUAUUGGGCGUAAAGGGCUCGUAGGCGGCCUGUCGCGUCGGAUGUGAAAGCCCGGGGCUUAACCCCGGGUCUGCAUUCGAUACGGGCAGGCUAGAGUUCGGUAGGGGAGAUCGGAAUUCCUGGUGUAGCGGUGAAAUGCGCAGAUAUCAGGAGGAACACCGGUGGCGAAGGCGGAUCUCUGGGCCGAUACUGACGCUGAGGAGCGAAAGCGUGGGGAGCGAACAGG
rnacentral:rRNA from 1 species